UACGUAGGCAGCGAGCGUUGUUCGGAGUUACUGGGCGUAAAGCGCACGUAGGCGGAUCGAUCAGUCAGGGGUGAAAUCCCAGAGCUCAACUCUGGAACUGCCUUUGAUACUGUCGAUCUGGAGUAUGGAAGAGGUGAGUGGAAUUCCGAGUGUAGAGGUGAAAUUCGUAGAUAUUCGGAGGAACACCAGUGGCGAAGGCGGCUCACUGGUCCAUUACUGACGCUGAGACGCGAAAGCGUGGGGAGCAAACAGG
rnacentral:rRNA from 1 species